AUGGCUCGAGCAAGAGUGAUCGCAGCGCUGGCUGUGGCGUUACUGGGCUGCGCGUUGGCCGUCGCCGCGGACGACGUCGCCUCAAGUGCGUCGCGACCCAAGGCGCAGCCGCCAUCUGGUGGAUUGGCGCCGGAGCCGAAGCCCCCUGCGUCCGGGGGACUGCUGAAGGCGCACGCCACAUUCUACGGCGGCGCCGAUGGCGCUGGCACCAUGGGCGGUGCGUGCGGGUACGGCAACCUCUACUCGGCCGGGUACGGCACGAGCACGACGGCGCUCAGCACGGCGCUGUUCAACGACGGCGUCGUGCGGGCAGUGUUACAAAAUCGCGUGCGACAGCAAGCGGGUGGACCCCAGGUGGUGCAAGCUCGGCGAGGCGGUGACCGUCACGGCCACCAACUUCUGCCCGCCCAACUACGACCUGCCAAGCGACGACGGUGGCUGGUGCAACCCACCCCGGCCGCAUUUCGACAUGGCGCAGCCGGCCUGGGAGAAGAUCGGCGUCUAUCGGGCCGGCAUCAUCCUGUCGUAUACCAAAGGUUUCUAUCUUUAAUAUACUCUCAUCUGAACUAUAGAUCGAUCUUUCUGCAAGUGGUUUACCACAAUUGA
rnacentral:rRNA from 1 species